rnacentral:rRNA from 1 species
GACGAACGCUGGCGGCAUGCCUAACACAUGCAAGUCGAACGAAACGUCCGGGUCUUUGGGCGCACGGCUUCGUAAGGCGUGGGGACCUUCCCUUGGGUUCGGACUACCUCCCCGACUGGGAUGCUAAUGCCAGAUAGUGUCUUCUGCCCAAAGAUUUAUUGCCUUUGGAUGGGCCCUCGUUAGAUUCGCUGGUUGGUAGGGUAAAAGCAUACCAUGGCGCGGAUGCAUAGCUGGUUAGAGAGGCUGAUCAGCCACACUUGGACUGAGACACGGCCUAGAAUCCUACGCAAGGGAGGAGUGGGUAAUAUUGGAAGAGGGGGGAAAGCAUGAACCAGCAAUGACGGGUAAGUGAUGAAGGCCGUAGGGAAGUAAUGCUCUAUUACCCGGGAUGAUAAUGACAGUACCGGGUGAAUAAGCCCCGGCUAACUACGUG